rnacentral:rRNA from 1 species
UUCAAUAUUGCGUGCUUGCGCGCAAUGUGCACUUUUCCUUUAGUAAGACGUUGUGAUCCAUUAGAAAUUGAUCAUUCCAAUGAUUAUUGGGCUACCAAAAGGCUGGCGUGAAGUUCAUGAAUGUAAAUAAUUGAAUCGCUUAUGGUUUGAUAUAUUGCUUCGUGAGCAUGUCGUGUCCUGUUGUAGCUGUCUGAUGGAUUUUAAAGAUUAUAUUAUUAAUGUCAUUGUGCAUUAUCCAUUACGAUGGAAUUUAAUAUAUAUCCGAUCAACAACGGUUAAAUUUGGGAUACCUUUUGGACCCGUCUUGAAACACGGACCAAGGAGUCUAUCUAGUAUGCAAGUAAAUGAGUAUAAAUGAAACUUAUUUGCGUAAAAAACUUAACUGUAUUAUGGGAUUACGAGUUAAUAAUUUUUGUUAGCUCUUCCAUCCCGGGGUAUUUUCAUCAACAUAUGCGCAAGUAUAUGGAAAAUAUACCAUGAGCAUACUGGAUAUGACCCGAAAGAUGGUGAACUAUGCCUGAUCAGGUUGAAGUCAGGGGAAACCCUGAUGGAGGACCGAAGCAGUUCUGACGUGCAAAUCG